rnacentral:lncRNA from 1 species
AUGAGGAAGAGCCUUGGCUUGGGCUUUGGCCUUGCCCUUCCUCAGUCUUUCCCUUUGGCCUCCUACAGCUCAAGCAAACCACACUCUGCCUCUGGAGUCCCCGCCAAGGGCCCCUCAGGAGGAAGACUGGACCCAGGAGAAUUGGGGGACUGGAGGAGCUCUGCUGCCAGACAACAUCAACAUAAACCCAGUCCCCUACCUGUAUUGGUACCCUCCAGCCUUCCCAGUACCAGCUCCUGUGGUCCAAUAUAUCCUGCGCCCGAGGUAUCGAAGCCUCAUCAAGCCUAUACGGGCCAAAUUCCCCUGCUACCCCAUCCUCAGAAAACCAACAGUGAAGAGAACAGCUAACUAGCCCAAAUCAUCUGCUGCUACCAAACCGUGGCUCCAUCCGAAAAGCCCAGUGACACCCCACGGCACUCACCCUCGCCAUCAGACGGAAGGGAACGCUCCCCAAAAACACACACAAAGUGCCCACCGGCCCGGCCACGGAGCUCUCCCCCCACCAGAAACCCACUGCAAGCUGAAACGCUCCUUCCCCCUGCGUUUUCCAGACUCUACAUCGACAUCAGGGAGAUACAAAAUCCUCUCCAAAAGCCCCAGAGUCCAAGAGCUGCGUGACUUAAUAAAUUAUAAAUUGGAAGCCGCUGCUGGAGACGC